rnacentral:rRNA from 1 species
UAGGGAAUAUUGCUUAAUGGGCGAAAGCCUGAAGCAGCAACGCCGCGUGUGCGAUGAAGGCCUUCGGGUUGUAAAGCACUUUUUGAGGGGAUGAGGAAGGACAGUACCCUCAGAAUAAGUCUCGGCUAACUACGUGCCAGCAGCCGCGGUAAAACGUAGGAGGCGAGCGUUAUCCGGAUUUACUGGGCGUAAAGCGCGUGCAGGCGGCUCGAAAAGUUGGAUGUGAAAGCUCCUGGCUUAACUGGGAGAGGUCGUUCAAUACUUUCGGGCUUGAGGAUGGGAGAGGGAGGUGGAAUUCCGGGUGUAGUGGUGAAAUGCGUAGAUAUCCGGAGGAACACCAGUGGCGAAGGCGGCCUCCUGGCCCAUUUCUGACGCUCAGACGCGAAAGCUAGGGUAGCAAACGG